UCCCUCUUGAGCAGAGAUUAGGUAUGCUUGCUGAAGAAACACUGAUAUCCUAAACUUGGAUUUUUUUUUCUGUGACAGCUCACUGAAUGUGUUAACAUCACUGGCCUAGUUUAUUUUAUCACUGCAAGAUAAAACAUAUUUUGAAGCUGAAUAGCAUUUUCAUCUAAGAGUAAUGUUGAAGAUCAUUCCCUGAAGUCACCAGGUCUUACUUUAAAUCCAGGAUCCUACUAAACUGCUGGGGCUUAUGUUUGUGCAAACGAUCUGCAAGUCUUCCACGAUUUCAAGUCAGAAUGGGUAGCAGGGAUGCUUACAUCCCGCUGAAGUUCUUUCUCAGCAAGUUUAUAAUUUGUCCCUAGAGGAUUAUUCUAAGAACAUUUUUCCUUGGCAUGUUUAAAAUCUUUAGGUUUCUUUUUAUAAUAAAGAAUUUUUAAUAGCCUUUCAAA